AUGCAAAAGAUGCUCCAAGAUUUGCACAUAUCACAUGAACGAAAUGAAUCCAAAAGAGGGGAUGCCUUCUGGGGUAUCCCCAAGCUUACACGCUUGAGUCUCCUUGAAUAUUCACUUGGGGUGCCUCGGGCAUACCCAAGCUUGAGCUCUUGCCUCUCUUCCUUCUUCUCACAUGGAGACCUUCUCGAUCAUCAAACACUUCAUCCACACAAAACUUCAACAGAAAACUCGGUAAGAUCAUUUAGUAUAAUAAAGCAAAUCACUACUCUAAGUACUGUUGCAAACCAAUUCAUAUUUUGUUUUUGCAGUCUACUGUAA
rnacentral:rRNA from 1 species